rnacentral:sRNA from 1 species
UUUUUUGUAGAGACAGUGUUUCACCAUGUUGCCCAGGCUGGUCUUGAACUCCUGACCUCGAGUAAUCUGCCCACCUCUGCCUCCAAAAGUGCUGGGAUUACAGGCAUGAGCCACUGUGCCCGGCCGACCUCAGCCGUUUUGAAUCUUUCUUCCUUGUCAUUAACCCUGCCUCAGUGGCUCCUAUACCAGCCCACCAAAAAAGCACCCCUGCCCGCCUUAGCCGGCCAGUAUGCCCACUCCCUCCCUAGCCACAAGCCUGUGCCCCACACCUGGGCCCUGCUUCGUCCAAAGCAGCCUUCUUCGUCUGAAGCAGCCUUCUUCCAAUAGUGAGGAAAACCCUGAACUCCUGUUACUGACAGCUGUCAUUCAUCCCUUGAAUGCUUACUGUGGUUCCCCGGAAACAAUUACCUGGCUGGCCUCGGUUAAUUCUCACAAUUCUUUCCAGUGCUGUCACUCAUGUGUCUGUCCACUGCUACCUUGGCUUUCUCCAGUCCUCACUCAGUUCCUUCUUUGGUCCCUGGUUUCUCCAGAUACCUGCCCAUGGCGUGCCUGGGUCCUGCCUCAGGGAAUCCAGCCUGGAUAGUUGCCAGAAAGGGUUGUGAGGAUUGGAUGCCCCCCUUUGUCCCUCCUCCCUCCCUCCCUCCCUCCCUCCCUCCGUUCCUUCCUUCCUUCCUUCCUUCCUUCCUUCCUCUCUCUUCUCUUUCUUUUUCUUUCUUUCUUUUCUUUCGCAUUUGUCACCCAGGCUGGAGUGCAGUGGUGCAAUCUUGGCUCACUACAAUCUCCGCCUCCCAGAUUCAAGCGAUUCUCCUGCCUCAGCCUCCCAAGUAGCUGCAAUUACAGACGCCCACCACCAUGUCUGGCUAAUUUUUUGUAUUUUAGUAGAGAUGGGGUUUCACCAUGUUGGCCAGGCUGGUCUCAAACUCCUGACCUCAGGUGAUCUGCGCACCUUGGCCUCCCAAAGUGCUGGAAUUACAGGCGUGAGUACCAUGUCCGGCCUCCUUCCCUUUCAUUUCUUCUCUUCCCUUUUCCUCCCUUCCUCCCUCCCUCCCUUCCUUUCUUCCUUCCUUUCCCUCCGUUCUCUUCCUUCCCUCCCUCUCUCCCCUCUGUCCAUACAUUUUUGUUGAGAACCUUUUCUGUGCCAGGUAGUUGCAGGCACUGGAGCAUACAGCCCCAUGUAGACCUGGCCCCUGUAAGCUGACCUGCAGCAGGCCAGACCAGGCCCCAUGUGUGCACCCUCCUCUCCUGGCCUUUGUGUCCUCCUUAACUAACAUGGGCUCUCUUGUCCCCCUGCCUUGGUACAGGCCCAGUUUGACCUGGCCUUUGUUGUCCGCUACAAGCCUGAUGAGCAGCCCUCACUGAUGCCACACCACGAUGCCUCCACCUUCACCAUCAACAUCGCCCUGAACCGAGUCGGAGUGGAUUACGAGGGCGGGGGCUGUCGGUUCCUGCGCUACAACUGUUCCAUCCGAGCCCCGAGGAAGGGCUGGACCCUCAUGCACCCUGGACGACUCACGCAUUACCACGAGGGGCUCCCCACCACCAGGGGCACCCGCUACAUCGCAGUCUCCUUCGUCGAUCCCUAAUUGGCCAGGCCUGACCCUCUUGGACCUUUCUUCUUUGCCGACAACCACUGCCCAGCAGCCUCUGGUACCUCGGGGUCCCAGGGAACCCAGUCCAGCCUCCUGGCUCUUGACUUCCCAUUGCUCUUGGAGCCACCAAUCAGAGAGAUUCAGAGAGAUUCCUAUAGGCCAGAGGCAGAACACACCUCCGUGGCUGGAGCUCUCCGUGGUGCUCUGGACCCAGCCCCUGGAGACACCGUUCACUUUUACUGCUUUGUAGUGACUCGUCCUCUCCAACCUGUCUUCCUGAAAAACCAAGGCCCCCUUCCCCCACCUCUUCCAUGGGGUGAGACUUGAGCAGAACAGGGGCUUCCCCAAGUUGCCCGGAAAGACUGUCUGGGUGAGAAGCCACGGCCAGAGCUUCUCCCAGGCACAGCUGUUGCACCAGGGACUUCUGCUUCUAGUUUUGGAGUAAAGACACCUGGAUCAGACUCCAAGGGCUGCCCUGAGUCUGGGACUUCUGCCUCCAUGGCUGGUCAUGAGAGCAAACCGUAGUCCCCUGGAGAGAGCGACUCCAGAGAACCUCUUGGGAGACAGAAAAGGCAUCUGUGCACAGCUCGAUCUUCUACUUGCCUGUGGGGAGGGGAGUGACAGGUCCACACACCGCACUGGGUCACCCUGUCCUGGAUGCCUCUGAAGAGAGGGACAGACCGUCAGAAACUGGAAAGUUUCUAUUAAAGGUCAUUUAAACC